UGAACCUUACCUAUGUUCUGUUGCCUCGGCGGCGUCGGUCAGCGCCCCUCUGAAAAGAGGACGAUGCCCCUCCCGCCGGCAGCACCAAACUCUUGAAUUUUACAGCGGAUUACAGUUCUGAUUUGAAAACAAAAAACAAGUUAAAACUUUCAACAACGGAUCUCUUGGUUCUGGCAUCGAUGAAGAACGCAGCGAAAUGCGAUAAGUAAUGUGAAUUGCAGAAUUCAGUGAAUCAUCGAAUCUUUGAACGCACAUUGCGCCCGGCAGUAAUCUGCCGGGCAUGCCUGUCCGAGCGUCAUUUCAACCCUCGAACCUCCGUUUCCUCAGGGAAGCCCAGGGUCGGUGUUGGGGCGCUACGGCGAGUCUUCGCGACCCCCGUAGGCCCUGAAAUACAGUGGCGGUCCCGCCGCGGUUGCCUUCUGCGUAGUAAGUCUCUUUUGCAAGCUCGCAUUGGGUCCCGGCGUAGGCCAGCCGUCAAA
rnacentral:sRNA from 1 species